rnacentral:rRNA from 1 species
CGAUUAGGGUUCGAUUCUGGCUCAGAACGAACGCUGGCGGCGUGGAUUAGGCAUGCAAGUCGAACGAGAAUCUGAGAGUCCAAGUUUUCGGACAAGGACUUUUGGAGGAAAGUGGCGGAAGGGUGAGUACAACAUGGAUAAUCUACCUUCAAGUUGGGUAUAGCUUUCCGAAAGGAGAGAUAAUCCCGGAUGUGGUGAUCCGGCGCAUGCCGGAGACUCCAAAGGUGGGGACCGCAAGGCCUGCCGCUUGAAGAUGAGUCCGUGCACUAUCAGCUAGUUGGUGAGGUAAUGGCUCACCAAGGCUAUGACGGUUAGCUGGUCUGAGAGGAUGGUCAGCCACACUGGGACUGAGAUACUGCCCAGACUCCUACGGGAGGCUGCAGUCGAGAAUCAUUCGCAAUGGGCGAAAGCCUGACGGUGCGACGUCGCGUGGAGGAUGACGGUCUUCGGAUUGUAAACUCCUGUCAUGUGGGAUAAAUAGCCCGGGUGUGAAUAGCACUUGGGACUGAUAGUACCACAGGAGGAAGAGACGGCUAACUCUGUGCCAGCAGCCGCGGUAAUUCAGAGGUCUCGAGCGUUGUUCGGAUUUACUGGGCGUAAAGGGAGCGUAGGCGGCCGGGUGUGUCGAAUGUGAAAGCCCACAACUCAACUGUGGAAUGGCAUUCGAAACUACCUGGCUAGAGUACUGGAGAGGAGAGCGGAAUUCUUGGUGUAGCGGUGAAAUGCGUAGAUAUCAAGAGGAACACCGGUGGCGAAGGCGGCUCUCUGGACAGAUACUGACGCUGA